rnacentral:rRNA from 1 species
UACGUAGGGUGCGAGCGUUGUCCGGAAUUAUUGGGCGUAAAGAGCUUGUAGGCGGUUUGUCGCGUCUGCCGUGAAAUUUCGAGGCUCAACCUCGAACUUGCGGUGGGUACGGGCAGACUAGAGUGUGGUAGGGGAGACUGGAAUUCCUGGUGUAGCGGUGAAAUGCGCAGAUAUCAGGAGGAACACCGAUGGCGAAGGCAGGUCUCUGGGCCACUACUGACGCUGAUGCACGAAAGCUAGGGGAGCAAACAGG